rnacentral:rRNA from 1 species
UACGUAGGGUGCAAGCGUUUGUCCGGAAUUAUUGGGCGUAAAGAGCUCGUAGGCGGUUUGUCGCGUCUGCUGUGAAAACGCGAGGCUCAACCUCGCGCCUGCAGUGGGUACGGGCAGACUAGAGUGCGGGUAGGGGAGAUUGGAAUUCCUGGUGUAGCGGUGGAAUGCGCAGAUAUCAGGAGGACACCGAUGGCGAAGGCAG